rnacentral:misc_RNA from 1 species
AUGUCGUUUGUUUUGUUGUAGUUGUAGAGCUUUGAGGCUCUCGCUCUCAGCCAUGACCGAUUCUCUCUCAGAGAGUAAAGUUUCACAAACUUUUUUUUUCUUAUUUUGUCCGAAACAGAAACUCCCGUCGUCGUCAUCGUCAUCGAUGUCUUCUUCCCCUUCUUCGUCUUCUAAUUCUCCUUCUACUUCAAGAUUGUUGUCGUUUUGUUCCUUACUGUGCCGUUUUUGGUUUUGUUGUAGUUGGAGAGCUUCGCGGCUCUCGCUCUCAGCCAUGGCCAAUUCUCUCUGAGAUAGUAAAGUUCAGAACAGUUACAAAGAGUAUGCUUUUCUUUAAUACUGUCCGAAACAGAACCCGAUAAAAUGAGACCCGAUACUGUUUCGGUUCGAUUGUGGGAAUCGAAUUUUGCGCACUGGAGUAGAUGAGAGAGAGAGAGAGAGAGA